rnacentral:rRNA from 1 species
UACGAAGGGGGCUAGCGUUGCUCGGAAUUACUGGGCGUAAAGCGCACGUAGGCGGCUUUCUAAGUCGGGGGUGAAAUCCUGGAGCUCAACUCCAGAACUGCCUUCGAUACUGGAGAGCUCGAGUCCGGGAGAGGUGAGUGGAACUGCGAGUGUAGAGGUGAAAUUCGUAGAUAUUCGUAAGAACACCAGUGGCGAAGGCGGCUCACUGGCCCGGUACUGACGCUGAGGUGCGAAAGCGUGGGGAGCAAACAGG